GGAGUUGUGGCUCAAGUGGUAGAGUGCUUCCCUAGCGUGGGUGAGGCACUGGGUUCGAUCCUCAGCACCA
rnacentral:tRNA from 1 species